rnacentral:rRNA from 13 species
AAAAAGAGAGUGAAAAAGAGAGUGAAAAAGAGAGUGAGAGAGAGGGUGAGAGAGAGGGUGAGAGAGAGAAUAAAAAAGAAAAUGGAAAUGAGAAUGGAGAAAUCAAAAAUGAACUUUUUCUAAAUUCACAAGAAACUGUGGAAUUUGAAGUUUUAAGUCUCAGUGAUCAAGAUUUGGAUAUGUAUGGUUCUUAUUCUGGGGUCACAUCUCUUUCUUUUCCCUUUCCUUCUUCUUCUCCUUCUUCUCCCUCUUCUUCUCCUCCUUCUUCUCCUUCUUCUCAUCAGUUAACAUCACCAAAGACCAAAUCGGAAGUGAAACCAACAACAAAAGCACCAUCACCACCAACAACACCAUCCAAACCCUCACCACCAAAGAAAACAAUUCUCCCUUCGGAUCUCUCUUCUUCUUCUUCUUUCUCUUUUUUGGCGAGUGUGGCAAAUGAUACUGUGGCGUUGAAACAAUCUUUUGAAAGAGUUCUUUCAAGUCGCAUUCCAAGAUAUGAAUCGCCGGAUGGGCAAGGAGCUACAGAAGCAAGAGAAGGGAGAAUUACAAUUCAAGAAGCGUAUAAUAAAAUUAAAAAUGAGAUGGAUGCUGUUAAACCUCGUCAACCUCCUUCUAUUACUUCUGAGAAACUUGUUUAUUUGAGGCUUCUUGCUGCGAGACCU